AAUGGCUCAUUAAAUCAGUUAUCGUUUAUUUGAUAGUACCUUACUACUUGGAUAACCGUGGUAAUUCUAGAGCUAAUACAUGCUAAAAACCCCGACUUCGGGAGGGGUGUAUUUAUUAGAUAAAAAACCAACGCCCUUCGGGGCUCCUUGGUGAAUCAUAAUAACUUAACGGAUCGCAUGGCCUUGCGCCGGCGACGGUUCAUUCAAAUUUCUGCCCUAUCAACUUUCGAUUGUAGGGUAUUGGCCUACAAUGGUAUCAACGGGUAACGGGGAAUUAGGGUUCGAUUCCGGAGAGGGAGCCUGAGAAACGGCUACCACAUCCAAGGAAGGCAGCAGGCGCGCAAAUUACCCAAUCCCGACACGGGGAGGUAGUGACAAUAAAUACUGAUACAGGGCUCUUUUGGGUCUUGUAAUUGGAAUGAGUACAAUUUAAAUCCCUUAACGAGGAACAAUUGGAGGGCAAGUCUGGUGCCAGCAGCCGCGGUAAUUCCAGCUCCAAUAGCGUAUAUUAAAGUUGUUGCAGUUAAAAAGCUCGUAGUUGAACCUUGGGCCUGGCUGGCCGGUCCGCCUCACCGCGUGCACUGGUCCGGCCGGGCCUUUCCUUCUGGAGAGCCGCAUGCCCUUCACUGGGCGUGUCGGGGAACCAGGACUUUUACUUUGAAAAAAUUAGAGUGUUCAAAGCAGGCCUUUGCUCGAAUACAUUAGCAUGGAAUAAUAGAAUAGGACGUGCGGUCCUAUUUUGUUGGUUUCUAGGACCGCCGUAAUGAUUAAUAGGGAUAGUCGGGGGCAUCAGUAUUCAAUUGUCAGAGGUGAAAUUCUUGGAUUUAUUGAAGACUAACUACUGCGAAAGCAUUUGCCAAGGAUGUUUUCAUUAAUCAGUGAACGAAAGUUAGGGGAUCGAAGACGAUCAGAUACCGUCGUAGUCUUAACCGUAAACUAUGCCGACUAGGGAUCGGGCGAUGUUAUUAUUUUGACUCGCUCGGCACCUUACGAGAAAUCAAAG
rnacentral:rRNA from 1 species